rfam:Salmo salar isolate Sally breed double haploid chromosome ssa11, whole genome shotgun sequence.
CCAAAGGCUCUUUUAAGAGCCAACCACCUAGCUCUGCAAAAGCGCA